rnacentral:rRNA from 1 species
GAUCAUGGCUCAGGAUGAACGCUGGCGGCGUGCUAACACAUGCAAGUCGAACGAAGCUAAGGGAGCUUGCUCCCAAAGCUAGUGGCGGACGGGUGAGUAACGCGUGGGUAACCUGCCCUAUAGAGGGGGGAUAACGUUCGGAAACGAACGCUAAUACCGCAUAAACCAUAAGGAGCUGCAUGGCUCUGAUGGCAAAGAUUUAUCGCUAUAGGAUGGACCUGCGUUGGAUUAGCUAGUUGGUGAGAUAACAGCUCACCAAGGCGACGAUCCAUAGCCGGCCUGAGAGGGUGAACGGCCACAUUGGGACUGAGACACGGCCCAAACUCCUACGGGAGGCAGCAGUGGGGAAUAUUGCACAAUGGGCGCAAGCCUGAUGCCAGCGACGCCGCGUGAAGGAAGAAGGUCUUCGGAUUGUAAACUUCUAUCAGCAGGGAAGAAUAAAUGACGGUACCUGACUAAGAAGCCCCGGCUAACUACGUGCCAGCAGCCGC